GUGGGGGAUAUUGCACAAUGGAGGAAACUCUGAUGCAGCGACGCCGCGUGAGUGAAGAAGUAUUUCGGUAUGUAAAGCUCUAUCAGCAGGGAAGAUAAUGACAGUACCUGACUAAGAAGCCCCGGCUAACUACGUGCCAGCAGCCGCGGUAAUACGUAGGGGGCAAGCGUUAUCCGGAUUUACUGGGUGUAAAGGGAGCGUAGACGGAAUGGCAAGUCUGAAGUGAAAUCCUGCGGCUUAACUGCAGAAUUGCUUUGGAAACUGUCAAUCUGGAGUGUUGGAGAGGUAAGCGGAAUUCCUGGUGUAGCGGUGAAAUGCGUAGAUAUCAGGAAGAACACCGGAGGCGAAGGCGGCUUACUGGACUGUAACUGACGUUGAGGCUCGAAAGCGUGGGGAGCAAACAGGAUUAGAAACCCUAGUAGUCC
rnacentral:rRNA from 1 species